UCUAAAGUAGCGAAAACAUUUUCGAACAUAUAUAUGUGAUCUACAGAAAAGUGAAACCAGGAAAAUCCCAAGCACUGGAGGGCCACUAUCACACAAGGUGUAACAACUGGCUGGUUCUAUUGCAUUUGAGCUUUGGAACCCCACUACGAUUAGGAUAAAACGUAGAUGCUGGACCCAAAAGUCUCCUCUAUCAUCUCCCACCUUACAUUAUCACAUGCAUGCAUGCAUACGGCGGCAUUUAGCACCUCAGAUUAGUUAUCAUGAUUCAUGAAACAGCAACAAGCACAUGAUUGGAUCGAUUCGAUCUCCAUCCAGGGAAAACACAUAAAGAAGGACAAGUAUAUAUGCCAUGCCACAUCCAUGGAGUCCGACGCGCCGGACGGCAACGGCAACGGGCCGGAGAGAAAGGCGACGGCCGGGCUGUCGCGAUCCAGUGGUAGGCCGAUUGCUGGGAAUAACGUCGGAGGGAUGUGGACCAUCCACGCAUAAAAUCUGGCCACGAGGGUGCAUUUGAUCUCGGGAACAUAAACUCUGACGUCAGUUAAUACAAAGAAAGGUAUGGUGCUUCCAAGGUCAAGGGAUCAAAGUAUAAAAACCAUAAGUAAAUAAGCCAGGGUUGGGAUAACCGAAGACCCUGAAGACGAAGAUGUACCCCGAUGUUCACUCUCUUGGAGGGGAGCUAGUCACCGUUUGAGAGGUGAAGGAAGAUUCAAUAGUUGAUCUGGUAGAGGACAAAGGCUCUAAAAUUGCCAAUUCAACUGCAGAGGUGUUAGUGGUCAACCCCGACUGGACAAUGUUGUACAUGACAUAUCUUUUAGGAAGGAGCUCCCCAAGGAUGGGGUGGAGGCAUGUCAAGUAGUGAGCUGAUCAAAGGCGUACACAGUUCUCAAUGGUGAACUGUAGAAGCACAACCCCACUGGCGUUUCUCAUCGUUGUAUCUUUCUUGAGGAACGCAUGCAGAUCCUCAACGAGGUUCAUUCAUGUAUAUGUGGGCAUCAUGCGUCCUCUCAGGCACUGGUUGCCAAGGCUUUCCAGACUGGUUUCUUUUGGUUAACUGCC